rnacentral:rRNA from 2 species
AAAACUUUCAACAACGGAUCUCUUGGUUCUGGCAUCGAUGAAGAACGCAGCGAAAUGCGAUAAGUAAUGUGAAUUGCAGAAUUCCGUGAAUCAUCGAAUCUUUGAACGCACAUUGCGCCCUUUGGUAUUCCGAAGGGCAUGCCUGUUCGAGCGUCAUUGC